GAAACAGUAAAAUUAUCCUUUCGGAGAAUGUUCCUGAUGGACAGUGGGUUAUACGUGAUCCAAUUUUGGCAGAGAUAUCCCUGACCUAUGAGCUUCGCCACUUCAUGCGCUAAUGAGUUUGCUUCUCUGGGUACCCAGCUAAUGGGGAAGUGGCGACUAUGGAGGAGUUAAUUCCUGAGAGAAGGGUACCAUUGUGGUCUCUGAGCACCGCUGCCGUAGCACCCAAAGAUUGUGCUUCAACAAAAGCUGCAUCAAUGUUGCAUUUGAUCCAACCUUCCAGUGGUGGUCUCCAGAUUAGUCCAGUGAUCAGCCCCAGAGUUGCCAGAACUGCUCCAUCCUCUCCUAAGAACAGUGUCGCAUUCAGCAUGGUCCACCCAAAAUGCCUCAAAUUUAAAAUUUUUACUCCUUCUACCUCUAGGAUUAACAUUGAGAACUAGAGGAGUAUGAUCUGAACUAAUAGGUGGUAAGGCUGAGAGUGUGGCAUGUUGGAACGCUUUUCUCCAUUCCCAGUUGACAAGAACCCUAUCUAGCCUUUCCUUAGUGACACAACCAUUCCUUGGAUUACUAAACCACGUGUAUUUCAUCCCUUGAAGGUCCAAAUCCAAGAGAGCAUUCUCAUGUACAAAAUUCCUGAAAGCUACAAUCUGAUUACUCGGUUUAGGAUGCAGACCUACCUUCUCAUCUUGUGAAAUUACGUCAUUAAAGUCCCCGAUCAACACUCUUGGCUGUGCCAAAUUACUAUUCACAACAGUUAAUUCCUUCCAUAACUCCUUCCUUUUCUUGUAAUCUGGAUGACCAUAAACAAAAGUAGCCUCCCAAUCCAUAUCACUGCCACUGCUAACUUUAGUUUUAAUAAAAUUAUCACACCAAGCAUAAACAUGAAUAUUUACAUUACUCUUCCAAAAGAUACAAAGUCCCCCGGAUAGCCUCCGGGACUUUACACAAAACAUGUUAUCAAAACAUAACUUACUCCUAAUUCUAUCACAACUUGGUUUACUAGUUUUGGUCUCCAUAAGGAACAAAAUGGACAGCCUGUGAUAUUUUUAGAUACUUUUCAAUUCAUGUACUGUCGAAGGGGCCGCCAUUCCUUGACAGUUCCAGCUGACAACAAUCAUGGAUGAUGGUGGGGCAUGUCAAGGCCCGCCUCCUCAGCCAUGUUUGUUUCAGCAUCAUUUUUGUACUUCUUACCUGGUUGUUGCAUACUAAUUUCGUUAGAUUCCUUCCUUUCCUCUACAUAAUCUACAUUGAUGCUCAAGUCUCUCUUCCUUUUGAGGUUCAGAUGCAUUCCUAAAUUGUAAGCCAGCUCCAAAGCCCACUUGAAAUCAUUCCUCUGCUGAGACUUUGCAAUGCUAUCCGCUUCCAUUUCUUGCUGAUCCUCUGCUAGUUCUACAAAAUACCUUUCCCCAUUUUCCAUCCUCUGAAUCAUGGUUCUGGUACCUGCAGUGACAAUUCUUUUCAUUUUUGGUUUUUUCCUGUAGCUCCACAGCUGAUCUGCAUUCUUACUUAUACAUUCUGCCCCCUUACUGUUGGUUCCAGCAUUUCGUCGUUAAGUUGAUGGUUUUGCUGAGUCCCCUUCUUGCCAAAAAGCAUGUUCAACUCUUCUCUGAUUGUUAAACGCCUGUUAUUAUCAUUGCCUCCUUCCUUUACCUGUAGGUGUCGUGGCUCUUCCUCAGUAACCAUCAGCCCAGCUAGGUUGACCUCAUUCUUUGUUGUUCUCAUGAGAGAAGGUAGAGCCUCAUUAUUUUCAUUGGCUUGUGCAAGGUCUAGACGCCCCGCAUCAUUGUGCCCGACUUCCGAAUUCACUUAUCCUGCCACUUGGAGCUUAUCCUUCCCUUUCCUCAUCCUGUUGAUAAGGUUGAGAAGAUUUUCUCUGAUGCUCCAAGGUCCAGCUUUGCAUAUCUAAACACCCUUGCUAGCAUCCCUGAAAUUGAUGAGAACUUUGUUUCUGCCGACAUUUGAAAUCGCUACUCCUUUCGGAUUCUCCCAAAUUCCCAGAAGUGCUGCUUUGCACGUCCUGAAGCUAACUUUUUUGUCAGGGAUAAUCUUGCCCACCAUAUGCAAAUUUCCUUCAAUGAAGCUAUCUUCAUAUUCUGGAUUGAGACGAACCACUUCACCAUUGAACGACUGAUCUUCUUCUUGAGCCAUGUCUAGAGAUACAAGGGUAGAAAAAACAAAAUUGUCGUACUGAAUGAGAGAUGAACUAAAGACUCUCAUUAACAGAGGAAGAUUCUCCUUGAGAGAAUUAAGGCGGUCGGAACUGUUUUUGGAGUUGGCGACUUUUUAUCAGGGAGUUAGCGGGUUUCGUUUUCUGCUGAGAAAGUUAUGGGUUAAGGCUACGGAUUAGGUAGCAAUGGAUCAUCACAUUACAAAGCCCAUCCUAAAAGAGAUUCUUAUUUUUGUUAAUCAAUUAUUUACUGAUGAUCCUUAAACAUUCCUUGCUAAAUGAGAAGUGUUGUAUUUCUUGUUAAUUAAAUAAAUUUUAAUUUUUUUAUUUA